UCUUAUCCAGAGAGGUGGAGGGAUAAAGGCCCUGUGAAACCCGGCAACCUGUUGAUAGUGACAAGUAAUAAUACUUGAAACUGGUAGACGUGGUGCAAAUUCCUGCAGAAUUUUUAAUUUGCAAGAUAAGA
rnacentral:ncRNA from 1 species